rnacentral:lncRNA from 1 species
GUGUCCUUAACCCCUGGCCAUGGCCCCAAGACACCUCUUCUCUCUUGCAGCUGAAUGACAUUGUAGAAAGAAAGGAUCAAAUGUAUGGCAUAGACAAUGGAUUCAAGUCCCUGGAAGACAUUACUAACUUGCUGGUGGUAAAUUCCUGUCAUGAAGUCAUGGCCGGGGAGAGUUAUUUUGUCUGUGUAGGAGAUCUAUACACGGAGGAUGAAAUUGUUUGCAGAUACAAGUUGG